rnacentral:lncRNA from 1 species
UUGCCCAGCUAUGCAACCCAAGAGGGGGGGGUGAAUUGGGUUUUAAAAAUUUUAGGCUUAACUAAUUACUUGUAAAAAUUAUAUAUCAAAAGCUUGAUGAAUGAAGAGAGAUACUUUGGUUUGAGAUUAAUUACUUAAAACAAGAAUGCAAGGAUAUAAUGGAGAAUUAGAGAGAAACAAUAAAGCAUGCCACAAACACAAUGAUUUAUAGUGGUUCG